rnacentral:tRNA from 1 species
GCAGCGGUGAUUCAGUGGUAGAAUUCUUGCCUUCCAUGUGUGAGACCCGGGUUCAAUUCCCAUCCAAUGCA